CUGAGUACUACACUCUCUACCCUUUGUGAACUAUUAUACCUGUUGCUUCGGCGGCGCCCGCGAGGGUGCCCGCCGGUCUCAUCAGAAUCUCUGUUUUUCGAACCCGACGAUACUUCUGAGUGUUCUUAGCGAACUGUCA
rnacentral:misc_RNA from 1 species